AACCUCCGCAAUGUGAGAAAUCGCGACGGGGGGAUCCCAAGUGCCAUUCUUAACGGGAUGGCUUUUCAUUAGUGUAAAGAGCUUUUGGAAUAAGAGCUGGGCAAGACCGGUGCCAGCCGCCGCGGUAACACCGGCAGCUCUAGUGGUAACAAUUUUUAUUGGGCCUAAAGCGUCCGUAGCCGGUUUAAUAAGUCUCUGGUGAAAUCCUGUAGCUUAACUGUGGGAAUUGCUGGAGAUACUAUUAGACUUGAGACCGGGAGAGGUUAGAGGUACUCCCAGGGUAGAGGUGAAAUUCUGUAAUCCUGGGAGGACCGCCUGUUGCGAAGGCGUCUAACUGGAACGGUUCUGACGGUGAGGGACGAAAGUUAGGGGCGCGAACCGGAUUAGAUACCCGGGUAGUCCUAACUGUAAACGAUGCGGACUUGGUGUUGGGUGGCUUGAGCUGCUCCAGUGCGAAGGGAAGCUGUUAAGUCCGCCGCCUGGGAAGUACGGUCGCAAGACUGAAACUUAAAGGAAUU
rnacentral:rRNA from 1 species